GAGUUUGAUCCUGGCUCAAGAUGAACGCUGGCGGCAUGCCUAAUACAUGCAAGUCGAACGAGAGACCUUCGGGUCUCUAGUGGCGAACGGGUGAGUAACACGUAGGGAACCUGCCCGCGCACCGGGAAUACGCUCUGGAAACGGAGAACAAAUCCCGAUGUACAGGAAGGAGGCAUCUUCUUUCUGUGAAACAUCCUUUCGGGGAUGGGGCGCGGAUGGACCUGCGGUGCAUUAGUUGGUUGGCGGGGUAAAGGCCCACCAAGACGAUGAUGCAUAGCCGGCCUGAGAGGGCGGACGGCCACAUUGGGACUGAGACACGGCCCAGACUCCUGCGGGAGGCAGCAGUAGGGAAUUUUCGUCAAUGGGCGCAAGCCUGAACGAGCGAUGCCGCGUGAGUGAAGAAAGCCUUCGGGUCGUANAGCUCUGUUGCGGGGGAAAAAAGGCAGCAUCAGGAAAUGGGUGCUGACUGAUGGUGCCCCGCCAGAAAGUCACGGUUAACUACGUGCCAGCAGCCGCGGUAAUACGUAGGUGGCGAGCGUUAUCCGGAAUGAUUGGGCGUAAAGGGUGCGCANGCGGUCCUGCAAGUCUGGAGUGGAACGCAUGAGCUCAACUCAUGCAUGGCUUUUGGGAACUGGA
rnacentral:rRNA from 1 species